rnacentral:lncRNA from 1 species
CAUAGUCUCCCGUCUUCAAAAUAAAAUUGAAAAAAACAUGCCUCUAUUUGUUCAAAUGCGUAUCCUAUUACAGACACAGUAUAUGUUACGGCUUUUUUCAAUUCAUGGGUUGACACUAGUCAUUUUGUGAGCCAUCAAUAGCUUGCUGUUCGGUGUGAGCCAAUGCUCCGUGAUUAAGACAGUUAUUUACAAAUUAUGACAUGGAUAGAGAGUUGUCUCAUUGGCACUCAUAUAACAUCUUCUCAUAUUUAUAUAGGAUGUUUUUUUAGUAUUGUGUGUUUAUAACAUACAGUUUCUGUUUAAUGAUUCAAAAACCUUUGUGCAACUUUGAGUUAUAUAUAAUGUAAAUGUGUAAACAAAUGUCUAUAGUUUUUCGCGUCUGAACACAGUCUCUCUAACAUGUACCCCGCAUGUUUGUGAAUACAAUUAUAUGCAAGUACCAUAAAUUUAACAUGUAUUCCUUUUUAAACAUUCAACAACGUUAUUUGUUGUCUUAAAUAUACUGUGAUAGAUUCUAACAAAUUUUGUCAUAUUCCCUUUGAUUAGUUUUAGGAUGUAUUUCAUACUUAAAAAAACGAUAUUUCUUAUGUUGAAGCAAAUACGAAAUUGGUAAAAUCACCAGUGUCAUGACUAAAAAAAACUACUGAAACAAGGAUUA